GCCUGGGUGGCUCAGUCGGUUGAGCAUCUGACUUCAGCUCAGGUCAUGAUCUCUCUGUCUGUGAGUUCAAGCCCCUCAUUGGGCU
rfam:Felis catus isolate Cinnamon breed Abyssinian chromosome C2, whole genome shotgun sequence.